GAAGGACGGCGCAUGCCGUCGGCUGGGGCACCUGCUCCUCCCCCUGCUCCUCCAUACAGCAGGCCGUCGCGCCGCCUGCGACGCGCCCUCUUUGGCCUGGUAGAGGGCGGCUCGACUGCUGAGACGGUCCCGCAGAGCCUGCCUGGCUCGCCUCGCUCCCGGCGCGCGUUGCACGCCCUCCGUUACAGGCUCCGCGCCCGGAGCUGAAGCCUCCUCCUGCUGGACCCACCGAAGGAGUCGGUCACGGUAUUACCCGCGCGGCUCACCCGCGGGCAACUUUGGCAAGUCGCUUCCCAUAAAAUGCGGCCGCCCCCGCGAGAGUGUUCAAAGUUGCCGUGCUGUCCACAUGGACGAGAAAGUACGUUCCAGGGAAGAGAACAGAAAUCAUUUUUUGAAAUUGCUUUAAAAAUAAACAUAGAAGCAGGGAUGGGGAAUCUGUCUUUCCAGAGGUUGGAUUGCCUGACUGCUUGAUGGGAGUUGAUGUCCAGCAAUCUCUGGAGGGCCGCAGACUAAAAUGGAUUGUACAAAUUAAUAGAAGAUCGAUCAUAAGAGGAGCAGCUAUGUUCAAGAGCAAUAUACCUCUGAAUGCCAAAUGAUAUGAUCAAUAAAGGCAGGUUGCCAGUUUCUUUGA